rnacentral:rRNA from 1 species
UUAAGCGACUAAGCGUACACGGUGGAUGCCCUGGCAGUCAGAGGCGAUGAAGGACGUGCUAAUCUGCGAAAAGCGCCGGCGAGGUGAUAUGAACCUUUGACCCGGCGAUGUCCGAAUGGGGAAACCCAGUGCAAUUCGUUGCACUAUCGUUAACUGAAUACAUAGGUUAACGAGGCGAACCGGGGGAACUGAAACAUCUAAGUACCCCGAGGAAAAGAAAUCAACCGAGAUUCCCCCAGUAGCGGCGAGCGAACGGGGAGCAGCCCGGAGUCUGAAUCAGCUUGUGUGUUAGUGGAACGGUCUGGAAAGUCCGACGGUACAGGGUGAUAGUCCCGUACACGAAAGCACACAUGCUGUGAACUCGAAGAGUAGGGCGGGACACGUGGUAUCCUGUCUGAAUAUGGGGGGACCAUCCUCCAAGGCUAAAUACUCCUGACUGACCGAUAGUGAACCAGUACCGUGAGGGAAAGGCGAAAAGAACCCCGGCGAGGGGAGUGAAAAAGAACCUGAAACCGUGUACGUACAAGCAGUGGGAGCCUCUUUAUGGGGUGACUGCGUACCUUUUGUAUAAUGGGUCAGCGACUUAUAUUCUGUAGCAAGGUUAACCGUAUAGGGGAGCCGAAGGGAAACCGAGUCUUAACUGGGCGUUAAGUUGCAGGGUAUAGACCCGAAACCCGGUGAUCUAGCCAUGGGCAGGUUGAAGGUUGGGUAACACUAACUGGAGGACCGAACCGACUAAUGUUGAAAAAUUAGCGGAUGACCUGUGGCUGGGGGUGAAAGGCCAAUCAAACCGGGAGAUAGCUGGUUCUCCCCGAAAGCUAUUUAGGUAGCGCCUCGUGAACUCAUCUUCGGGGGUAGAGCACUGUUUCGGCUAGGGGGCCAUCCCGGCUUACCAACCCGAUGCAAACUACGAAUACCGAAGAAUGUUAUCACGGGAGACACACGGCGGGUGCUAACGUCCGUCGUGAAGAGGGAAACAACCCAGACCGCCAGCUAAGGUCCCAAAGUCAUGGUUAAGUGGGAAACGAUGUGGGAAGGCACAGACAGCCAGGAUGUUGGCUUAGAAGCAGCCAUCAUUUAAAGAAAGCGUAAUAGCUCACUGGUCGAGUCGGCCUGCGCGGAAGAUGUAACGGGGCUAAACCAUGCACCGAAGCUGCGGCAGCGACGCUUAGGCGUUGUUGGGUAGGGGAGCGUUCUGUAAGCCGUUGAAGGUGUCCUGUGAGGGGUGCUGGAGGUAUCAGAAGUGCGAAUGCUGACAUAAGUAACGAUAAAGCGGGUGAAAAGCCCGCUCGCCGGAAGACCAAGGGUUCCUGUCCAACGUUAAUCGGGGCAGGGUGAGUCGACCCCUAAGGCGAGGCCGAAAGGCGUAGUCGAUGGGAAACAGGUUAAUAUUCCUGUACUUGGUGUUACUGCGAAGGGGGGACGGAGAAGGCUAUGUCAGCCGGGCGACGGUUGUCCCGGUUUAAGCAUGUAGGCGGAGGUUCCAGGUAAAUCCGGUACCUUGUUAACGCUGAGGUGUGAUGACGAGGCACUACGGUGCUGAAGUGAUAAAUGCCCUGCUUCCAGGAAAAGCCUCUAAGCAUCAGGUAACACGAAAUCGUACCCCAAACCGACACAGGUGGUCAGGUAGAGAAUACCAAGGCGCUUGAGAGAACUCGGGUGAAGGAACUAGGCAAAAUGGUGCCGUAACUUCGGGAGAAGGCACGCUGAUGUGUAGGUGAAGUCCCUGCGGACGGAGCUGAAAUCAGUCGAAGAUACCAGCUGGCUGCAACUGUUUAUUAAAAACACAGCACUGUGCAAACACGAAAGUGGACGUAUACGGUGUGACGCCUGCCCGGUGCCGGAAGGUUAAUUGAUGGGGUUAGCGGCAACGCGAAGCUCUUGAUCGAAGCCCCGGUAAACGGCGGCCGUAACUAUAACGGUCCUAAGGUAGCGAAAUUCCUUGUCGGGUAAGUUCCGACCUGCACGAAUGGCGUAAUGAUGGCCAGGCUGUCUCCACCCGAGACUCAGUGAAAUUGAACUCGCUGUGAAGAUGCAGUGUACCCGCGGCAAGACGGAAAGACCCCGUGAACCUUUACUAUAGCUUGACACUGAACACUGGUCCUUGAUGUGUAGGAUAGGUGGGAGGCUUUGAAGCGUGGACGCCAGUCUGCGUGGAGCCAACCUUGAAAUACCACCCUUUAAUGGCUGGUGUUCUAACGUAGACCCGUAAUCCGGGUUGCGGACAGUGUCUGGUGGGUAGUUUGACUGGGGCGGUCUCCUCCCAAAGAGUAACGGAGGAGCACGAAGGUUGGCUAAUCCUGGUCGGACAUCAGGAGGUUAGUGCAAUGGCAUAAGCCAGCUUGACUGCGAGCGUGACGGCGCGAGCAGGUGCGAAAGCAGGUCAUAGUGAUCCGGUGGUUCUGAAUGGAAGGGCCAUCGCUCAACGGAUAAAAGGUACUCCGGGGAUAACAGGCUGAUACCGCCCAAGAGUUCAUAUCGACGGCGGUGUUUGGCACCUCGAUGUCGGCUCAUCACAUCCUGGGGCUGAAGUAGGUCCCAAGGGUAUGGCUGUUCGCCAUUUAAAGUGGUACGCGAGCUGGGUUUAGAACGUCGUGAGACAGUUCGGUCCCUAUCUGCCGUGGGCGCUGGAGAAUUGAGGGGGGCUGCUCCUAGUACGAGAGGACCGGAGUGGACGCAUCACUGGUGUUCGGGUUGUCAUGCCAAUGGCACUGCCCGGUAGCUAAAUGCGGAAAAGAUAAGUGCUGAAAGCAUCUAAGCACGAAACUUGCCCCGAGAUGAGUUCUCCCUGAGACCUUGAGUCUCCUGAAGGAACGUUGAAGACGACGACGUUGAUAGGUCGGGUGUGUAAGCGCAGCGAUGCGUUGAGCUAACCGAUACUAAUGAACCGUGAGGCUUAACCUU